AUUGAACGCUGGCGGCAUGCCUUACACAUGCAAGUCGAACGGCAGCACGGGGCAACCUGGUGGCGAGUGGCGAACGGGUGAGUAAUGCAUCGGAACGUACCUUUCAGUGGGGGAUAACGUAGCGAAAGUUACGCUAAUACCGCAUAUUCUGUGAGCAGGAAAGCAGGGGAUCGCAAGACCUUGCGCUGAUUGAGCGGCCGAUGUCAGAUUAGCUAGUUGGUGAGGUAAAGGCUCACCAAGGCGACGAUCAGUAGCGGGUCUGAGAGGAUGAUCCGCCACACUGGAACUGAGACACGGUCCAGACUCCUACGGGAGGCAGCAGUGGGGAAUUUUGGACAAUGGGAGCAACCCUGAUCCAGCCAUGCCGCGUGAGGGAAGAAGGCCUUCGGGUUGUAAAGCUCUUUCGGCCGGGAAGAAAUCGCACGGGCUAAUACCCUGUGUGGAUGACGGUACCGGAAUAAGAAGCACCGGCUAACUACGUGCCAGCCGCCGCAGUAACAC
rnacentral:rRNA from 1 species